AAAAAGGGCAAACCGUGAGUUUGCGUGACAAUGUUUGACUGUCCGUCUUAUAUGAAAUUUUUUUAUAAAUAGUAUUUUCAUUGUUGUUAGAUGAUAAAACAUGAUGAAUACUUUAUGCGUGACUUAUCUUUUUAAUUUUUUUUAUAAUUUUUUUAAAUAAGACGGACGGUCAAAUAUUGGACACGGAAACUAGGGUUUGUCUUUUUA
rfam:Oryza nivara chromosome 4, whole genome shotgun sequence.